UUUUCAUGUGAGUUCGGCCGAACCCAAGGACGACAAGACGCCACCAUGCUCAGCCUCCUCCUCCGGCGGCGCCGCCCCCCGCACUGCCAUGCGGGGAGGCGUUUCUCUUCCGAGACCUCUCACGAGUCUACCCAGAUCCGGCCAGGCUUCCUCGAGCAACCCUCGCCGCGGCCUCUCUUAGUCCAGAAUCCCCCGGCCCCGACCCCUUCUCCUGCCGCCGCGUCCCCUCUCCGCUCCGCCUCCUCCUCCUAUGCCAUCGCUGCGACCGUCGUCUCAGCUUCGGCACUUGCUGCCUACGUCGCCCUCUCUUUUUCGGAUCGGCCUUCGCCGAGGUCCGACCGAAUCUACUCCGACAUGGAGGAAACCCUAGAAAGGUCCAAGAAUUCUGUUCGAAGGAUCUUGGACCGUAUGAGUCAGACAGGUGCAGCCGCUUCCGUGCUUUGGAAGUCGCUGGUUUCUAUGCUUUCGUCCGCCAACCAUGGGGUCCGGUCAGGGUUCGAGUUCCGGGUGGCCGCUCUGCUUGCGGAUAUCUCAGCAGCCAACGAGGCGCGUAGGGCCGCCAUUGUUGGGGCUGGUGGAGGUGCGGUAGUGGAUUGGCUGUUGGAUAGUGUAGCUAUCUCUGGACACGGAGGGGAUCGUAUUGGGACACAGUCGGAGUCGGCAAGGGCUCUUGCGCAUCUUAUUGCUGACCCGAAUGUUUGCCACGCUGUCUUGGGGCGGCCAUAUGCGAUCCCUAACCUUUUGAGAUUCAUCUUCUCGUUCCAACCGAAAAAAUCCAAGUCUGUGAAACAUUCAGCAAAGGAUGGUUCUGAUGUUUGUAAAGGAAGGAGCAUGCUUGUUGCUGCUAUCAUGGACAUAAUCACUUCAAACUGUGAUAGUGUUGAUCAACCACUUAAACCAUUGUUGCCUGCUAGUGCAGACACUAGAGAUAUUGCAACAGCUCUUGAAGUAGUCGAGGAAGGAGGAUUGCGCCUUGAAGUUGUUGAUGAGGAUGGAGAUAAUGAUGAUGGGGACAACGGAAUUCAGGGAAUUGGAAUAAAAGUGCUUGGGGGCACAACAAUUUUGGGAUUUUCUUCAAAGGAAAGCAUCUUAGAACUCAGCCAGCCUCUUCAUUAUCAGUUACUUAGACCUAGAGAGAGAUAUCAGAAUCUUGAAUUAAAGGAAAAUAUUAGCAGUUCAUCUAGACAUGAGAGAUUUUCUUUUACUAUCCCAGGCCUGUGGGAUGAUUUGCAGAGGGAACAUGUCGCUGUACCUUUUGCUGCAUGGGCUUUAGCAAAUUGGGCUUUGGCUUCAGAGCUUAACCGAACUCGUAUUCUAGAACUUGAUAGUGAUGGUCAGGCUAUUAUGACUACAUUAAGGGCACCUGAGAGAUCAGUGAAAUGGCAUGGUUGUUUGGUUGCUCGUGCUCUUGUAGAUGAUCCGAAGUUACCAUUGAAUGUAUCUGUUCCUGACUGGAGCUCCAGCCUUCUUUCUACAGCAUUUCAUGCCAGCAAUAGUGAGGAUGUAACUUUGGCUCAAGUAGCUUUGUCAGCUUUUCUUGUCUCCAUUAAGCGGAGUAAUGAAGCAAAGGUUGUGAUGAUGGAGAAAGGGCUUGAUCUCAUAAGAGGAAUUGGUAAGCAGUCUGAAAAACAUUGGCAUUUACGAGAAACUCUAGCCAAGGUAUUGGAACUAAUUUACAAUGGGGACAUGCACUUGUCUCUCGAAGAAAGUCAAAGAUGGUCCGGUAUUCUUCUUCAUUGGAUUAUUGAUGAAUCAUCCAACCUAACUACUCGUCUGUCUGCUAUGAAAACCCUUUCUUUCAUCAUGGAGGAUUUUGGGCCACAUUCAAUACCAAUUUCGCAAGGGUGGUUGACUAUAUUGCUCAAUGAGGUCCUUGGAUCUAGCAAGAAAGCAAACAUGAAAGGAAACAAUCCACCUAAGUCAGACAAAGUGAAGACUCAAAUUGAUCAAUCUAAUGCUCAAUCUGCAGUACAGAUAUCCAAUGAAUUAGCUACUUCUGUGGUUAAGCUUACUGGAUUUCAGUCGGAUCUUAAAUCAGAUACUUCUGGUAAUAGUCCAUUUAAUGAUUUUCUCUCCCUUGAACCAUUUUCUACUCUAAUUAAGAAUACGAAGAAGAAUAGUUUGCCUAAGUUUGAUGCUGCUGAUUCAGCUAUUGCUACAUUGAAAGGCAUAAAAGCACUGACAGAGCUUUGUGCUGAAGAUACUGUUUGCCAAUGUAAAAUAGCUGAUCUUGGUGCCCUUGUCUUACUUCGGCGUUACCUGUUAUGUGAUGAUUAUGAAAAAUUAGCUGCUAAUGAAGCAUAUUUGGCAUCAAGAGUUUUAGAGCCUCAAAGCCUUAAUGCGUCUGUCCCUGGUGAUUCACCCAAUAAAAAUCAAAAUAUAGAGCCAUCUAGUGUGAGAGUUCCUCCUACGGCACACAUCCGGAAGCAUGCUGCACGUUUGCUUGUAAUUCUUUCUCUUCUUCCAAGGGUUAAAAAAGUUAUUUCUGCAGAUCUUAUUUUGUGUAAAUGGCUUGAAGAUUGUGCAUGCGGCAAUAUUCCUUGUUGCAAUGACCAAAAAAUACAAAGCUAUGCUAGGGCAACUCUCUUAAAUAUAUUUUGUUUAGAACCUUCAGAAACUCAAGUGCUAAAUUAUAUGCCUCCUGUUGAUUUAAAAGACCCAAAGAGAAAGUGCCCUCUAUAUGAAGACAUGAUAUUCUUGCUAAAUCCUGAAUUGCCACAUUGGAAAGUUAGUCAGAAGCAUGAUGAGAACCAUUCAGAUGGUUCAUUUGGUCAGAUGUUAGUUUCUGGCCCUUCUUCACCUUGCAGUGUUGGUCAGUGUGAAGAAAAUAAUUCUGACAAUUCUAGCUGUCUUGUUAAUUCAGAGCAAGAAUCUGAAUCUUCUUUUCCUCUACUUGAUGUUGUCUUUGUCCAUGGAUUACGUGGCGGUCCUUUUAAGUCAUGGCGAAUAGCAGAUAACAAGUCUUCAACAACCAGCAAAGCUGGUCUUGUGGAGAGCAUUGAUUUGGAAGCUGGUAAAUUGGACAAAUCUGACUCAAUGGUCUGGAGCUACCUUGCCGCUUCAGGAGGUUAGCUCGAUGCUACUGAGAAAGUUAACUAGAGCAGGCAUUGGUGAUCGACCUGUUGUAUUUGUGACCCACAGUAUGGGAGGACUUGUUGUCAAGGAGAUGCUUCAUGAAGCAAAGCUAAAUAACCUUGAGGAAUUUGUUAAAAAUACUAUUGGGGUGGUAUUCUAUAGCUGUCCCCAUUUUGGUAGCAAGCUUGCUGACAUGCCUUGGCGAAUGGGUUUGGUUCUCCGUCCAGCCCUUACUGUGUGUUAACUGUGAAACUUCUUUGUCCUUUAGUUUGACAUAAUUUGUUAUAGUUUUAAGAUUUUAGCUAAAUCAUUAGCACAAUGUUUUAGAUUGGAGAAUUAAGAAGUGGAUCACCCAGAUUGUUAGAAUUGAAUGACUACGUCCGUCAACUCUAUAAAAAGGGGCUUCUUGAUGUUCUCAGUUUCAGCGAGACACAGGUGACACCAAUUGUUGAAGGCUAUGGUGGCUGGGGCUUGAGGAUGGAGAUUGUACCUAUUGAAUCUGCAUUCCCUGGCUUCGGUGAACUUGUUGUAUUAGAUUCCACUGAUCAUGUCAACUCUUGCAAGCCAGUUAGCCAGACAGAUCCAUCUUAUGCUAAAACAUUAGAGUUUUUGAAGAAAUUAAAAGAUCAUCUUGGCGUAAGUAGUUCUGCCAAGCAGGACAAACAUACUGGAUGAUUAGUAAUCAUCAAUCAGAAAUUAAGCAAUAUCAGCAUUGAAUUACCCUGAUCUGGAAGGCUGAUCCAUUAAUUUAAUGAAGAGGCUCAUCAAGUAGAUUCACUGGGAAAGGUACAUGUUUGUAGGUAAAAUGGGUUAGCUCAGUUGUAGAUUAUGUGAAAUUACUAUAUACCAUAAACGUGAGAUAUUUGCAUUUUUUUUUCCUCCCAUUUUAUCAAUAUUUUUUGAUGUAAAAUGAAUAUUCUCAAGGAAUGAAAAUGAACACAUAAUACAUACUGAUGAUACAGUGAACACUGAUCUAGUAUCCUUGUUCA